GAUGAACGCUGGCGGCGUGCCUAAUACAUGCAAGUCGAGCGAACAGACGAGGAGCUUGCUCCUUUGACGUUAGCGGCGGACGGGUGAGUAACACGUGGGUAACCUACCUAUAAGACUGGGAUAACUUCGGGAAACCGGAGCUAAUACCGGAUAAUAUUUCGAACCGCAUGGUUCGAUAGUGAAAGAUGGCUUUGCUAUCACUUAUAGAUGGACCUGCGCCGUAUUAGCUAGUUGGUAAGGUAACGGCUUACCAAGGCAACGAUACGUAGCCGACCUGAGAGGGUGAUCGGCCACACUGGAACUGAGACACGGUCCAGACUCCUACGGGAGGCAGCAGUAGGGAAUCUUCCGCAAUGGGCGAAAGCCUGACGGAGCAACGCCGCGUGAGUGAUGAAGGUCUUCGGAUCGUAAAACUCUGUUAUUAGGGAAGAACAAACGUGUAAGUAACUGUGCACGUCUUGACGGUACCUAAUCAGAAAGCCACGGCUAACUACGUGCCAGCAGCCGCGGUAAUACGUAGGUGGCAAGCGUUAUCCGGAAUUAUUGGGCGUAAAGCGCGCGUAGGCGGUUUUUUAAGUCUGAUGUGAAAGCCCACGGCUCAACCGUGGAGGGUCAUUGGAAACUGGAAAACUUGAGUGCAGAAGAGGAAAGUGGAAUUCCAUGUGUAGCGGUGAAAUGCGCAGAGAUAUGGAGGAACACCAGUGGCGAAGGCGACUUUCUGGUCUGUAACUGACGCUGAUGUGCGAAAGCGUGGGGAUCAAACAGGAUUAGAUACCCUGGUAGUCCACGCCGUAAACGAUGAGUGCUAAGUGUUAGGGGGUUUCCGCCCCUUAGUGCUGCAGCUAACGCAUUAAGCACUCCGCCUGGGGAGUACGACCGCAAGGUUGAAACUCAAAGGAAUUGACGGGGACCCGCACAAGCGGUGGAGCAUGUGGUUUAACUCGAAGCAACGCGAAGAACCUUACCAAAUCUUGACAUCCUUUGACCCUUCUAGAGAUAGAAGUUUCCCCUUCGGGGGACAAAGUGACAGGUGGUGCAUGGUUGUCGUCAGCUCGUGUCGUGAGAUGUUGGGUUAAGUCCCGCAACGAGCGCAACCCUUAAGCUUAGUUGCCAUCAUUAAGUUGGGCACUCUAAGUUGACUGCCGGUGACAAACCGGAGGAAGGUGGGGAUGACGUCAAAUCAUCAUGCCCCUUAUGAUUUGGGCUACACACGUGCUACAAUGGACAAUACAAAGGGCAGCGAAACCGCGAGGUCAAGCAAAUCCCAUAAAGUUGUUCUCAGUUCGGAUUGUAGUCUGCAACUCGACUACAUGAAGCUGGAAUCGCUAGUAAUCGUAGAUCAGCAUGCUACGGUGAAUACGUUCCCGGGUCU
rnacentral:rRNA from 1 species